rnacentral:lncRNA from 12 species
UCGAGUCUGGGGAAAAUGAUUUUGAAACGUUUAGAAGCACCCAAAACAAGACGGUUUUUUAUGGAAUAAGAUGUUUUCUGACCAAUGAAACCCACACCACUGUUUGCUUUGAGAAAAAAUAUUUGAAUGUUAAAGGAGUUUGUGUCAUCUCCCAGCAGAGACAUGGACAAAAAGGACUCUCAUGUGGCACCCUGAGUUUUGGAGAAAAUGGAAGUAGUAACAUCAGUACUGAGAAGACUAUCUGCUGUGAAGCAGAGACAGAUACCAGGAGAUACAACUGGGUCCUGAAGUGCAACUACACUCAAAAGUCACGUCCUGAAGACACAACAGCAGGCGCUUCUGAUGGGGCCAGUUCCUUUGUGUGGUGCUCACGAGGCAGUUCAUGGCUUGGCACUCCUGCUUGCUUCACUUGGCACGAGGCAGUUCAUGGUUUGGCACUCCUGCUUGCUUCACUUGGAUGCUCUGUUUUCUUCUGCUCUGCAGCUCAUAGUCAAGACACACAGGCUCCUGAAGGAGAAAAUAUCCCACUAAAUGGAGAACCAUUUGAAAGGAGGGACCAUAUUAUGCCAGCAGCAUCCUCAUCCUCCUCUCAAGAUGCACAGCAACAUCUGAACACAGACUGAUUUUCCAUGAGAACUUCUGCCCUUGUAUUCACAAACAGUUGUGUUUUCAUGAAUGCACCUUCACCACAUCCACACCUUCCCCAAGCACUGUGACUCUUGUCCAGCUCCAGGCCUUUGUGAGCAGCACGAGCAGCACCAGGAGCCCCCAUCCUCCGCUGGUGCUUGGCUGCAGGCAGCAGGCACCCCAGGGUGUGUGGCUGGCUCAGCAGCACAGGCUGAAACCAGCUGAAUUCUCUCUGUGACUGAGAGUGUGAACUGCUCUGAAAUGCUUCCCAAGCCCUCUGCAUGGCUUUCACUUGGUAAUGCCACAGCAGCACCCAGGUGUCUGCAUCUUUGAAAUUCUCAGGUCGUCUCUGGAUUCACCAAAGCCUUUUGCACAGCUGCCUGGUUGGUUGAACUGGAAGAGUUUGUUUUUUUUUAAGAGAUAUUUGAUUUUGCUGCCAUCUGCAGGCUGAGGACGUGUCUGUGUGUCUGUUCCUGUGCAGGGGUCAGGGGUGGGUGGGAGGCUGUGUCCAGCUCCCUCAGCAAUGACUGAGGCCUUGGCCUUCCCCCAGGCUGAACAGAUCUCUGGUGUCAAUCUUCCUGCCAAAUCAGGCAAGUUUAGACAGUGUGCAAUGAAUCCAGCCUCUCAGGGAUCCCAUUGGGUUCUUGGUAUCUUUAAAUCAUUCCCAUUCCCACUUGAUUUGAAUAAACCCUCAGCUUUUGCAUUGGAUGGAAUUUAGUAUGAGGCUGCUGAGUGAAAAGUGGAAAUGCAAAUCCCUGAAGCAAUGUGAAUGUUUGCUGAAUCAUUUUUCCAUGCUUUAGUUCCCCAUGAAUCUGUAGCUGAAACUUGCAGCAGGAAAUUUCAAAAGAUGUAGGACGUUGUUUCUCUCUUGAACUUUUCUUCAGUUAAAUUGAAAAGGAAAGAUGAUUAACAUAAUUU